AACCCUCGGUACAAAAAAAUCGUACAACAAAUUAGCAAUUCUACACUUUAGUCCACUCAACCAUCUCUCCCCAAAUUGAAAAAGGAUAAUUGUAUGAUACAUGUAUAAAAAAAGAAAAUAAAGGCUUGAAAAUCAAGCUAGCUCCGACACGGAGGAAACCGCAGGAAAAGACUUUCUCCUUAAUGGUACACACGAGUCGAGCUGCAGCUUAAUCUAAGACUACAUUAGUGGGGAAAUCCUGUCCAGUACUAAUAUACUAUGUGAUUUGAUGAUUAUAAAACGAACCAUGUCGAACAAGGCUUAGUUUCUUCUUUCUGACACACUGCUCUACUUAGGCGUACUAAAUGCAAAGAGUUGUGACUGAGUUCCAUGUUCUAUCAAAUAGUCUUGAAAUCUCAAGUUCACGUACUCUCCACCUCAAUUUGAUCGAAAUAUCUUUAUAGUUUUACCGAAUCUCAACGUCAACCUUAUAUUCUCUAAACUUUUCAAGAGAAUCAUAUCUGCAAUGCAAUAGGUAAACAUGACCGAACCUUGAAUAAUCAUAAAAAAAAAUUGAUGAAAUAUUCAUAUCGUUCUUAAACUUUGACAAUCAUUGGUCCAUAGAGGUAUGAAUGUAUGACCUCUGAUAGUAUUUUGAUUCUGAGACCUUUUCUGAUAAAAGAUUUUCUGAUAAAAGAUUUUUUGACAAUCAUUGGUCCAUAGAGGUUCGAAUGUAUGACCUCUCAUAGUAUUUUGGUUCUAAGACCUUUUCUGGUAAAAGAUUUUUUUUUGGUCAUUAUACUUUUUAAGGUAAGGCUUACAUAAAGGUAAAGAGUUAUCUUCUAACUAAUUGAAAAGUCUACUCUUAACCAAACUCCCAAUGUGAUCGAAUCUUAAGUACCAUAUAGAUAUUAGAAGAAACAUUUUCAUAGUCCAAGUGGAAGUUUGUUGGACUUUAUGUUUAGGGGAGUUUGUUGUGGUUUAAGUUACAUUCUAUCCAAUAUAGUAGUUAUUGAGGACUUAUUAAUGAAAAUAUAAUACUAUAAUCUUCAAUCCAAUAAACUAAGGUCUCGAGGCUAUCUAGUACAGGUACCGAAGUACACCUCACGUUUGACUUACUAUUUUGAUUGCCUAUUGUGUCAUAUGUAAAUCGCAUCAUAUGGUAGUGGCCGCUGUCAGCUCACAGAGCAUGUAGAGUUAAACGAGCAAAGUGAAGUGUAGUUUUUGAGAUUUGUAUAUUUUCAGUAUAAAGAAACUCUUGUACUGUAAAAAAUAUACUAUUUUAUUAGAAAUCAAUGAAGUCAUGUUAUUUCAAAUUGAGUUCUCACCUCGUGUUAAGUUGUUUGGGUUAAUCCGCUUACUAGGUGUUUGCGUGCUAUCUCGCAGGGAGAUUCGCAAUCGUGCUCCUCAUGGUCGCAUGCAGUGAUCAUGGGACGGGGAGUGACAUGUUGCCUGAAUUCAAUUGUUAAUUCAUCUUAUUCUCGGUAGAGAUUGCCUAGAGAUUACCCCAAGUUUUAGGAGAAAUUAUUGAUUUUGUUUUGUUAUGUGAGUUUUAUGUUUUUGCAGAUGCUUUUUGUCAACAAAAUCAAUACUAAAGACUUCUUCCUAUCUAAUUUGACUUGUUGUUCACAUGUGGUAAAAAUCGUCUCAAACAUAAAACAAUAGUUAUCAUUGGUGUUCGUUAUGCGUCAAGAGUUCUCUAAUAAAAAACCUUCUUUCAGUUCUGUGAAAAACAUAACUGAAAAAGAAGAAGAAAAGGGAAACCUGAGAGACAGAGAGACCAUCGUUGAGGAACUCGCCACUGUCAUCGUGCUCGCUGCCGUUCACCGUCCUACCAUUUGUCGUCAUCUGCCGCUGCUGCUCAUCAUUCUACAAUGGUUCGUGCUUGAUUUCACAGAUCAAGCAUUUACUCAAUUUGUUUAGCAUCAAAUGUUGAGCACGUGGAAAGGGUUUAGGGGAGACAACCAUAGGCAUAUCAAGAAGUUUAGCGACCUUGAAGAAGCACGUGCCAACCCACCGUAAAGAUUGGUGAAUCGUGUAGAAGAUUGGCAAUUUCUCUACGAUCAUUACUUGAGUCGAAAAUUUUAGGUGAUUUACAUCUUCUACUUUUCCUUCAAGAUACUUCAUUUUUGUUGUUUUGAUGUAACAUAUUGAUUGUUUGUAUGUAGGAACAAUUAAGGACCAACAAGGUUGCUAGUAGUGAGUCCAAAUCGUUCCUAGAACAACAAGAUGAGCUCACAAAACAAUGAGGUCACCCAGUGGACCUAGUGGAGUUGUUUGGAGAAACACACGCCAUUAGAAGUGGCCAAUUCGUUUUAUAGGCGCCCGCAGAUGCGCAUAAUUGAAUGCUGGAACUCCAGUUCCAAACCACUUCAAAAUGUUCUCAACCGCUCUCUAGAGACGAGAUAUGCGAGACCAUUUUGGGUAGACAAUCGGGCUACUCAAAAGGUUUUGGUUGAGGCCCCAAGCCCAAGUCCCAAAAGGCUGGUAGUAGCUCUUUGUCUUCAUAUGAGCAAGAGAUGCACUCGAGAGAGGUUAGGGAACUAAGAGCUAGUUUUGAAAACGCUCAACGAUGAAUUGAGGAACAACGAAGAACGUCAGAGUUGCAUACCCAACAAAUGAAAGAAAUGAAGAGAAGAUGAUCGAGGAAAUGAGUCGGGCACAGAGAAGAGAAUUUGGGCUUGUGGGAAUAUGGCGCCCACGAAGAUUAGAAGAUUCUACAUUUUUUUUUAAAUUUUCUAUGUAAUUUCUUUUUCUGAAUUUCUAAUUGUUGAAUAUUUGGGUUUAGUUUUUAAUAUAAAUACAAUUUGGUAUGUUAA